rnacentral:tRNA from 1 species
GGAGAGGUGCCGGAGUGGUUUAACGGGGCGGUCUCGAAAACCGUUGUGCCGUAAGGCACCCCGGGUUCGAAUCCCGGCCUCUCCGCCA